AUUGAACGCUGGCGGCAGGCUUAACACAUGCAAGUCGAGCGGAGAGAGGUAGCUUGCUACUGAUCUUAGCGGCGGACGGGUGAGUAAUGCUUAGGAAUCUGCCUAUUAGUGGGGGACAACAUUUCAAAAGGAAUGCUAAUACCGCAUACGUCCUACGGGAGAAAGCAGGGGAUCUUCGGACCUUGCGCUAAUAGAUGAGCCUAAGUCGGAUUAGCUAGUUGGUGGGGUAAAGGCCUACCAAGGCGACGAUCUGUAGCGGGUCUGAGAGGAUGAUCCGCCACACUGGGACUGAGACACGGCCCAGACUCCUACGGGAGGCAGCAGUGGGGAAUAUUGGACAAUGGGCGCAAGCCUGAUCCAGCCAUGCCGCGUGUGUGAAGAAGGCCUUAUGGUUGUAAAGCACUUUAAGCGAGGAGGAGGCUACUUUAGUUAAUACCUAGAGAUAGUGGACGUUACUCGCAGAAUAAGCACCGGCUAACUCUGUGCCAGCCGCCGCCGUAAAAC
rnacentral:rRNA from 1 species